rnacentral:rRNA from 1 species
CCUACGGGAGGCCGCAGUGAGGAAUAUUGGUCAAUGGGCGCGAGCCUGAACCAGCCAAGUAGCGUGAAGGAUGACUGCCCUACGGGUUGUAAACUUCUUUUAUAAAGGAAUAAAGUGAGGCACGUGUGCCUUUUUGUAUGUACUUUAUGAAUAAGGAUCGGCUAACUCCGUGCCAGCAGCCGCGGUAAUACGGCGGAUCCGAGCGUUAUCCGGAUUUAUUGGGUUUAAAGGGAGAGUAGAUGGGUUGUUAAGUCAGUGGUGAAAGUUUGUUGCUCAACCAUAAAAUUGCCGUUGAAACUGGUUGACCUGAGUAUAUUUGAGGUAGGCGGAAUGCGUGGUGUAGCGGUGAAAUGCAUAGAUCUCACGCAGAACUCCGAUUGCGAAGGCAGCUUACUAAACUAUAACUGACACUGAAGCACGAAAGCGUGGGGAUCAAACAGGAUUAGAUACCCUAGUAGUC